GAUCAUGGCUCAGGACGAACGCUGGCGGCGCGCCUAACACAUGCAAGUCGAACGGAGGCUAUAUUGAAAGCUUGCUGGAUAUAUAGCUUAGUGGCGGACGGGUGAGUAACACGUGAGCAACCUGCCUUUCAGAGUGGAAUAACGUUUGGAAACGAACGCUAAUACCGCAUAAUGUCAGAAGAUGGCAUCGUCUUUUGACCAAAGAUUUAUCGCUGAAAGAUGGGCUCGCGGG
rnacentral:rRNA from 1 species